GGUGGCUCAGUGGUAGAGCGCUUGCCUUGCAUGUAAGAGGCCCUGGGUUUGAUUCCUCAAGCACCA
rfam:Dipodomys ordii contig_1374, whole genome shotgun sequence.